UGCACAAGAAAUUUUUAAGCUUCUUCCUCAUACAUUUGUGGAUCCAAGAAAACUUCCAGAGCUACAUGAGAUGGCCAGGGAUCUUACUCAAUCGAAGCAACCAUCAAAGAGAAUCUUUCAAGUGUAUGGUUGUGUAGCAACCUGCCAAGACAUGGUGGAACAUUUAAAACCUUCAAAAUCUUUCAAUAAGGCUGAUUACUACACACAUCCAGAGCAAUACAAACCUGCUUUCCAUGAGAAAAUAGCUCCUUAUGCAUCUGUCAUAGUAAAUUGUAUGUACUGGGAGAGAAGGUUUCCUAGGUUGUUAACUACUAAACAGAUUCAAGACCUUAUGAAAAAUGGAUGCCCACUUGUUGGAAUCUGUGACAUAACUUGUGACGUGGGAGGGUCAAUUGAGUUCAUCAACCAAACCACAUCAAUAGACUCACCUUUCUUCAGGUAUGAACCUUUCAACGAUUCGUAUCAUUAUGACCUAGAAGGUAAAGGUGUGAUGUGUUCAGCUGUAGAUAUUCUUCCCACUGAGUUUGCGAAAGAGGCAUCCCAACAUUUCGGAGAUAUUCUGUCCCACUUUAUUGUAAGCUUAGCUUCCUUUAGAAAUCUUGAAGAGUUACCUGCACACUUGAAGAGAGCUUGCAUAGCCCAUUAUGGAGGUCUUACUCAGUUGUAUGAAUACAUACCUCGAAUGCGGAAAUCUGAUCUAGAUGACCCUUCAAUAGUUCUUUCAAAUUCCAAUGGGAACGGGAGGAAGUACACCGUAUUGGUAUCUCUAAGUGGUCAUUUGUUUGAUAAAUUUCUCAUAAACGAGGCGUUGGAUAUUAUUGAAGCAGCAGGUGGCUCCUUCCACUUGGUGAAGUGCCAAGUUGGUCAAAUCACAACUGAUUCGUCAUACUCAGAAUUGGAGGUUGGAGCUGAAGAUAAAUCUGUUUUAGAUAAAAUAGUCGAUUCUUUAACUUCCCUUGCUAAUUCAAGCAACUCUUUGGGAUCUCAAGACAAGGAAAACAACAUAUCUUUGAAGGUUGGGGAAUUCCAAGAAACAAUCAUGGAUGAGAAGUAUGAUUCAAAGAAGGUCUUAAUUUUAGGUGCUGGUCGGGUUUGCAGACCAGCUGCAGAACUUUUAGCGUCAAUUGGUAGCACGACAUCUAGGCAAUUUCCUAAAUCAUCUGUAACGGCUGAUUUUGAAGAGCAAAAUUGUGUCCAAGUGAUUGUUGGUUCUUUGUACUUGAAGGAUGCGGAGGAGGUUACUAAAGUUAUUCCAAAUGCAAAAGCAAUUCAGCUUGACAUUACGAGUCACGAGUCUCUUUCUAGCUGGAUCGCAGAGGUUGAUGUUGUCAUCAGCUUACUGCCUCCUAGCUGCCAUGGUGUUAUAGCAAAGGCAUGCAUUGAGCUGAAGAAACAUCUCGUCACGGCUAGCUACGUUGAUGAUUCUAUGUUAAAGCUAGACCAAGAUGCAAAAUCUGCUGGAAUUACUAUUCUUGGUGAAAUGGGCUUGGACCCAGGAAUAGAUCAUAUGAUGGCGAUGAAAAUGAUCAACGAAGCCCAUGCAGCAAAGGGAAAGAUCAGGUCUUUCGUUUCUUACUGUGGUGGUCUUCCCUCUCCAGCUGCUGCCAACAAUCCAUUAGCUUAUAAGUUCAGUUGGAGUCCAGCCGGAGCUAUACGAGCUGGGUGGAAUCCAGCAGCCUACAGGUAUCAAGGGGAAAUUAUCCAUGUCGAAGGUCAGAACCUUUAUGAUUCAGCUGCAAAGCUUCGUCUUCCUGAUUUUCCAGCCUUUGCAUUAGAGUGUAUACCAAAUCGCAACUCCUUAGUGUAUGGAGACUUGUAUGGUAUAUCAGAAGAAGCAUCUACCAUCUUCCGAGGAACACUACGCUAUGAAGGUUUUAGUCAAAUAAUGGGGACACUUGUGAAGAUAGGAUUCUUCAGUACAGAAUCUACUCUGAUUCUUAAGGAUGGGAUCAGACCCACGCACAGCACGUUUUUGCUUGGACUUCUUGGGAUCGAUGGAAAGAUGUUGCCUGAAUCAGUAAUUGAUGAAAAAUACAUCACAAAUAGGAUAUUAGCUCUUGGGCGUUGCACAGACAAGGACACUGCAGUCAAUACAGCAAAAACAAUAAUCUUUUUGGGAUUCCAAGAGCCCACGGAAAUACCAUCAUCCUGCAAAUCUCCAUUUGAAGUAACAUGUUUGCGCAUGGAAGAGAAAUUAGCAUACUCCAAAACAGAGAAGGAUAUGGUACUUUUACACCAUGAAGUGGUAGUAGAUUACCCAGACGACCAUGCUGAAACUCAUAGAUCGACACUCUUGGCAAUGGGGAGGACGGAGAGCGGGAAAACCACCAUGGCCAUGGCUCUAACAGUAGGGAUUCCAGCAGCCACCGGAGCUCUGCUAUUACUUGCAAACAAGAUUAAAGCAAAUGGUGUAUUAAGGCCUAUUGAUCCAGAAGUCUAUGAGUCAGCACUGGAUAUUUUGGAAGCAUAUGGUUUCGAGUUGCUGGAGAAGAUUGAAUAAUCAAUAAUGACAUGUAAUUUGUACAAGUUGGUUCUAGUAUUACCAAUUUGAUAUCAAAAGUUCUUUUUUCUAAAGGGCAUCAUACUGGUGUAAAGAGAUCCAAUUAAUGAAAAUAAAGUUGUAUAUAAUAUAAGAACUAAGUAAAGUGUCCGCACUUCGCGCAUGGUAUAUU
rnacentral:misc_RNA from 1 species